rnacentral:rRNA from 1 species
UACGGAGGAUCCGAGCGUUAUCCGGAUUUAUUGGGUUUAAAGGGUGCGCAGGCGGAAGAUUAAGUCGGUGGUGAAAUUUUGCAGCUCAACUGUAAAAGUGCCACUGAUACUGGUUUUCUUGAGUGUGGAUGAAGUAGGCGGAAUUUGUGGUGUAGCGGUGAAAUGCAUAGAUAUCACGAGGAACUCCGAUUGCGUAGGCAGCUUACUAAACCAUAACUGACGCUCAUGCACGAAGGCGUGGGGAUCAAACAGGAUUAGAUA